rnacentral:rRNA from 1 species
UACGUAGGGUGCGAGCGUUAAUCGGAAUUACUGGGCGUAAAGCGUGCGCAGGCGGUUUGUUAAGACAGAUGUGAAAUCCCCGGGCUUAACCUGGGAACUGCAUUUGUGACUGGCAAGCUAGAGUAUGGCAGAGGGGGGGUAGAAUUCCACGUGUAGCAGUGAAAUGCGUAGAGAUGUGGAGGAAUACCGAUGGCGAAGGCAGCCCCCUGGGUUAACACUGACGCUCAGGCACGAAAAGCGUGGGGAGCAAACAGG